rnacentral:rRNA from 1 species
AGAGCGGACGCUGGCGGCAGGCCUAACACAUGCAAGUCGAGCGCCCGUAGCAAUACGGGAGCGGCAGACGGGAUAGUAACACGUGGGAACGCGCCCUUCGGUUCGGAAUAACUCAGGGAAACUUGAGCUAAUACCGGAUACGCCCUUACGGGGAAAGAUUUAUUGCCGAAGGAACGGCCCGCGUCCGAUUAGCUAGUUGGUGAGGUAAUGGCUCACCAAGGCGACGAUCGGUAGCUGGUCUGAGAGGGUGACCAGCAUCACUGGGACUGAGACACGGCCCAGACUCCUACGGGAGGCAGCAGUGGGGAAUAUUGGACAAUGGGCGCAAGCCUGAUCCAGCCAUGCCGCGUGGAUGAUGAAGGCCUUAGGGUUGUAAAGUCCUUUUAACGGGGAAGAUAAUGACGGUACCCGUAGAAUAAGCCCCGGCUAACUUCGUGCCAGCAGCCGC